rnacentral:lncRNA from 1 species
UUUUAAGUAGGUUCCUCACCCAGUGUGGAGCCCAACGCAGAACCUGAACUCACGACUCUGAGGUCAACACAGGACCUGAGAUCAAGAAUCAGACACUUAACCAAUUGAGGCAUCCAGGCACCCCAAGUACAAUUGAUUACUUAAGUAUCUUCAAGUAAAAAAUAGAAUCAUCUGGUCCUCUACCUACCUACCACCCAUUCAUAUUUAGUAUGUUUAUUCUGGGAUCUAAGAAUCUGUCUUCAAAAGCACCAUGGACAAUUCUGAUGCAGCUAGUCUGGAAAUAAGUGUUUGGAAACACUGCCUGCCUGAGGUUGAUGCUUUGGGGGAAUGUCAACAAUCUUGAUUUCUUCCCUGAACCUACUGCGCAACAGUAACAAUCUCUUUGAUUCGCUUAAAGGCACUUGCAGAUUUUUCCCUUUCUCAGCAACCUACAAACAGCAGUUAUAGGGUGAGGAAACCAUGGAGACGCACUGCUCCAAUCUCCUUUCAAGACACUUUGCUGCAAGAGGGUGGAUGCCAGCCAGCCAGCCUCCAGCUGCUGGGUACCUUUGGAUCUGCCCCAGCAUCAUGCCGCGGCAAAACCUCCCUGGGCCUGGACAGUGAAUGCCCAAUGUGGUGCUUCGCCAUUAGCAAAUAUUCUUUGCUUUAGGCCCUUGCUAAGAUUUUCUCUAAGUUAAACUGCAGUCUGAACCCCCAAACCUCCUUCCGCUCUCCUCUCCUUUUAUAGGCAUCAGGCUUGCCUCACGGUCUAAAGGUUCCCCCUCCUCUUCCCCUCCUCCUUGCCCCUCUAUCGUGCACAGGCAUCCCACCACUAAGUGUCUCGCACAUUGAAUUCCGUCCUGAUGUCUGCCUCUUGAAGACCCUGAGCUGAUAUAUAAGGUUAGAAGGGAAGCUACUUAUAUCAUAAUUGAGGAUUUUACAAUAUUUUUACAUCCUAAGAGUGUAAU